ACUACAUCAUAGUAAGUACUACUCACUUUUGAUACAAAAUAUAAGAGAUUUUGGUUGGACGUAUAAAUUCGCAGUACUAUGAUGUGUCUCGUCUAACCAAAAUUUCAUAUAUUUUUUUACAAGAGAACUCACAUUUCAAAACGAGAGAUUAGUGUUUGGCAUGCAUAUAAUCUUCAUCAUACAUGUUCUGACAAGAUGACUGAAUUUCAAGUAUUUCCCCCCAUCUUUUUGCUUGAAUUUCACCAAUAGGGGUUGCAAAAUCGCAGGAGAAAAGCAGGACAUUUUGCAUAGUAAAGGCACAUCACUUCGUAAGCCCAAUUUUAAUGGGCCGACAUAAUGAUUCUGCGUAGGCCCAAUGAGCAAAUCGGCCCACUUAUCACUGACUUUUCUUACCUUAGCUUCUCGUCGCCGGCAGCCACGCCGCGGAGGCGGAGGCGCGGAGCUCGUCGCCGGCGAGGUCGUCGGGCGGUGCACCGGUAAACGACUCAACGACCCACACCAAAGGAGCGUCAGCUUUCUUCCCCCCAACCCACUCUCCGGCGACUAGCGGCGCCCACACCCUUCUCCGGCGACCCCCACCACCGCCGGCGGCGGCGGCGGCGGCGAUGGGAGUCAGGUCGGAUGUGGUACGGGAACCUCGCCUUCAGCAGCUCAGCUCUCCCCUUCCCUGCACGGCUUGUUGGCCUCACCGGAAUCGACGACCCCUACAAGUUCUUGCUGCUAGGAGUAUUGGAACAGAAAUGGAUAUGCUCCUGUGGACUGUGGUGAUUGUUUGGUGUGUUGCUUUUAUCUGAACUGCAAAUCUGAUGCAUGCAUUGCACUGAAAAAGAAAAUCUGAAACUACAGAGGAAUGUGCAAAAGGGUUUCACUUCUUUGUAUGAAGACUGGAAACUUGAGAAGAUGCAUGAUACUUGACCAAAGAACGGAAAAGAAGAAGAAUCAGAAUGUAUUGUACACUAGAUGCAGUUAAAUUAACAUGACAUGACACAGUUGAGGCGGAUGAUAAUACAAUUUGCUCUGGUUGGCAUAAAUUUGAACAGGUACAUCAACAACUGAUACAUAACCAAUGUCUCCCCAAAGGGGAAAAAAUAGUACUACAUACAUAGCAAAAAAGAAUUCACGACUUGUUAACUCUUAACCGCUGAUCGAUCUACACUGCCUACCGAAUUUAGACGUCAGUAAAAGGGAUGAUCUUAAAUUCCCCUUAAUGAUUAGGUAGCCAUCAUGAUCCAGCCUCUCAACUCAAUUGCAUCAGAGCCUUAUAUACAUAUCUUCAGAUUGACGGCAAUCAACUGGUGCCACCCUUGCUCUCAGACUUACUACAGUUGUCUGCAAUAUUUCAGGGACAAAAAAGAGACAGAUAUGUGAGUGAUAAGUCAAGUCAGAGAUGAACAAACAGUUGCAUUUAAGAACAGAGAAAUUCAGAGUUUCUGUGAUGCAGCUAUCCACGGAUCUACAAGAGAUAAAUGAUCAACUAGUCCGUGAAUUUGACACCGAUGGAUGCAGUGCAUGUAGCCGAGUGAAAUCAGCAAAGUAAACUCUAGCCUACAGUGCAUGACAAUGACAGGUUCUUGAGCUAACCAGAUCACAUUGUCUUUGCUGAAAGCAAACCUGUGUUCACACCCUCAGAUUUUAUUCAUCUUUAAAUUCCUUAGACUUUUCUGGCUCAUUUUACAGGGCAAUUUCAAAUAAAAUUUCAAGCGAAAAAAUGCAUAUAUUUAUUCUGUCUGAUUUUUCUUUUCCAACAUAUAGUACUACUGGAGGAUCAAUACCCCCGAAUUCUCAGGUAUUUCGUUCCGAAAUUUCAUAAUUCAUCCAUCCUAAAAUACAUUAACUUUUGACUACGAAUCUAGACAUGCACUUGGCUAGAUUCAUAGGUAAAAGUUGUUAUAUUUUAGGACAUAUGUAGUACUUGUACGAGGAUCGGAACCCGGAAAUUUCGGGUAUUUGGGUCGAAAUUUCAGGCCUUGAAGCAUUCUUUGUGGUACGAUACUAGUACUACUAGUAGACUAGUAGCAGAUCACUGAUUUUCAUUUUUGUUUCAUGUACAUUGACACUGAAAUGUGGAGUAGAUAGUACUUACACACCGUAUUUUUUGUGCAGAAUGUCGUCAGGAGUCAGCGGCUGCGCGGUUGCCUCCGGCCGGUGGCGGUGGCGGCGCCUCCGCCGUGUUCUGCUGCUGCUGAAGGUUCUUGGCCGCGGCGAGCUGGUAGAAGCUCAUCCCCUGCAGGCACGUGCUUUACUUACCAUCGGAGGCGGUGGCUGGAGGUGGUCGACGGCGAGGCAGCGGGCGUAGGGGUCGGCCAUGCUGACCACCGGCGAGCUCUGCACGGCGGCGGGCGGCGGCGCCAUGAACGGCGGCAUCCUCGGCAGGGACGCCAUGUGUGGUGGGCCCAUCCCGACGGCGCCCAUCCGCUGCAUGUACUGGUGCACGCCGGCCGCCGGGAACAUCACCGCCGGCGGCGCCAUUCCGCCGCCCAUCCACAUCAUCUGAACCACGCCAUUCACAUCAUCAUCGUCGGAUUAUCGUUAAUCAAUUUUAGUAUUGAGUUACAUUCAUUUUACGUAGUACAAACCUGUAGCUGGAGCUGCAGUGACUUGAGAUACUCGAUCGCUUCAUCCAGCAUCGAUGCUUUGUCCGUCUGAAAAUAUGAAACAAGAAUGAGGUCACCAUUUUCAAAUAAAUUCGAUUUAAAUUUUAA